CCCUGGCUCAGAUUGAACGCUGGCGGCAGGCCUAACACAUGCAAGUCGAGCGGAUGACAGGAGCUUGCUCCUGAAUUCAGCGGCGGACGGGUGAGUAAUGCCUAGGAAUCUGCCUGGUAGUGGGGGACAACGUUUCGAAAGGAACGCUAAUACCGCAUACGUCCUACGGGAGAAAGCAGGGGACCUUCGGGCCUUGCGCUAUCAGAUGAGCCUAGGUCGGAUUAGCUAGUUGGUGAGGUAAUGGCUCACCAAGGCGACGAUCCGUAACUGGUCUGAGAGGAUGAUCAGUCACACUGGAACUGAGACACGGUCCAGACUCCUACGGGAGGCAGCAGUGGGGAAUAUUGGACAAUGGGCGAAAGCCUGAUCCAGCCAUGCCGCGUGUGUGAAGAAGGUCUUCGGAUUGUAAAGCACUUUAAGUUGGGAGGAAGGGCAGUAACUUAAUACGUUGCUGUCUUGACGUUACCGACAGAAUAAGCACCGGC
rnacentral:rRNA from 2 species